UCUGCGGAGACCAGGACAAUAGCCAGGGACAAGCAUGUCAUCCUGGAGUCACACACACUGGAAGUAUCCAGAAGAGAGCGAGUUAUCUCUUCUGGCCCAUUUUUUUCUUGCUGUUCAGUGUGAACAAGGGCAGCAGGAGGGCAUGGACACACUCAAUGAGGAUCCAGGAAUUGGGAGUUCUAGAGGAGGCAGGUGACGCAUACCGACCAUCAAAGCCCAGGGCAGCGGAAUCUGUGCCUCUGUCCGGAAUAAUGGGCCUCCUCUGCAGGCACCUGGCUGAGCCUGGAGAAUCCAGAAGGAAUUUGGAAGUGACACUUUAAAGAAAGUCAUUCAUGGGGAAAUGAGUUAUUCUUGUUGUAAAGACAAUGGGGCCCGAGGACGUUAGAGAAAAUUGAGAGACAGAGCCCUUCACACCCCCAUCCCUCUGCACUGCUGUCUGCUGUGGCCACAGGGGAAACCCUUCCUGUUGUGUCUUGCACAUCUUCCAGAACCUUCUGUGCAUCUGCCCUGUGUGCAAACACCACUGACAACAUUCACACAAUAACCAGCGCCAGACUCCACU